GUAUUCAUAAACUAUUGCCUUAAAGUCGUCACCUUUGUGAUCCACACUAGAGCAACAUGUGAUAAUCUUGACUAGAUUUCUAUGCCUGAUAUUUCUAAAAGCAUUACAUUCGGCAAGGAAACUUUUAUGAGCUCCUUUCUUCUGAAGGUUUAGAACCUUUACAGCAACAACUCUUUCUUCUGAAUUAAGUCUUCCUUUGUACACAAAACCUAUACCUCCGGUUCCUAUCAAGUUCUGAACCGAAAACCCAUUUGUGGCAUGGUGUAACUCUUGGUAUGAUACCUUCGGAAAUUGCUCAAUUGUUGAAUCAGUGGAUGCUUUUCUCUGCCUUUUCCUCAUUAUCUGAUAGAUGAUGAUAGUAAGGACAAGUGACAAUAGAAGAAUAAAUGCAAUUGAGAAGAUGAUGAUGAUGAUGAUCAAUUUGCGGCCAACAUGGUGUUUUCUCUUUUUCAAACUUUUGGGUGGGCAACGCUGUAGAUUCAAUUUUGCUACCCCGCCGCAAAGCCUGUCAUUGCCAGUCAAUGAAACUCUAUUAGCAUUUUGGAAAACGCCAUGCAUGGGAACCUCACCCUCCAACUUGUUAAAAGAAGCACUGAACCAUUCUAACACAGAAUUAUUUUGUAAUUCCUGUGGAAUUGAACCAAACAAGUUGUAUCGUGAUAGGUCUAGUUGUAGAAGACCUUUUAGUGAAGCUAUAGAAGAUGGUAUGAUUCCAUCUAAAGAAUUGCCCUCUAAAUAUAGGUACUCCAAGCUAGAGCAAUCUCCAAUAUUUUCGGGAAUGCCUCCAGAGAGAUGAUUCUCAGAUAUAUCAAGUGUCCCGAUGUUUUUAAGCAUGCCCACCUCAGGAGGCAAAUUACCACUAAAUGAGUUAUGUGAUAGGUUGAGUAGUAUUGAUAAGUAGGAAAUGCCAAGAAGUUGUGUUGGUAUAGCUCCACUAAGGUUGUUCAUUGAAAAGUCUACUAUUUGCAACUUUUUGCAAUUUUCAAUGGUUGAGGGAAUCUCUCCAAUCAACAAAUUGUUUGAUAAAUCAAACUCAGACAAGUGACUGAGAUUUCCUAAAAAGGCCGCCGGAAUGGUACCCGACAGUUUGUUUUUUCCUAAAUACAAUUCUUGCAUGUUUUGAAACUUAGCAAAACUCUCUGGAAUAACUUCAGUUAAGUAGUUGUUCUCUAUGGACAAAUAAAUCAAGUUUACAAGAUUUCCCAGUUCUGUUGGAAUUUUUCCAGAUAUUUGAUUGUCAGCCAUAGCAAGUUGUGAAAGAUGCGUGGACAAACUGCCAAUAAUUUUAGGCAAAGGACCUCCAAAGUUGUUUUCUUCGACAUCGACUACAUCAAGCUGACUACAGUUUACCAAAAGACUUUAUAAACUCCCAGUCAUCACCACUAGUUGAUGAAUUGCUGCAAAGAUUAUUUUCGCCUACAGCCAGAACAGAAAGAUCUUGUAGCCUUCCAAGAUUUGGAAUUUGUCCUUCAAAAUUGUUAGAUACAAUAUCAAAACUUUGAAUCCGGGAUGCAUUACUGAUGGAUGUUGGGAUUGGACCUGAGAAUUGAUUUCCACCAAACCAAAAUCUCCUAAGAUUUGGGAGGGUUGUGAACACGUUGGUUGGAAGUGAACCGUGGAAUUCGUUGUCUGCUGUGUAAAGGUCAGUGAGAGAUGACAAAUUGUAAAGUGACAAAGGAAGCGUGCCAGAUAAUUUGUUUUGUGACACUGAAAUCUUUGUCAAGUUUUUUAAGAGGCCUAUUUCUUCUGGUAUGUUUCCCUCCAGGUAGUUUUUUGCAAAAGAGAGAACAGUGAGGGAAGAAAGAUUCCAUAUAGAAGGUGGAAUUCGUCCGGUUAGAUUAUUUUUUGCAACAUUGAAAAAUUCAAGCUUGGCAAGGGAGUGAAUUUCCUUCGGUAAUUGGCCAAUAAAUUGAUUUCCAUAUACUCCCAUUGCCCUCAGCUGAGAGCAAUUUGUCAAACUAAUUGGAAAUUGACCUCCCAAAGUAUUAUUGUGCAAAGUGAUAAUCUACAGUCGAAAUAAACGGCCUAAUUCUGGUGGGACAUUGGCAUGGAAGCUAUUAUCAUCAAGGUAGAGGAGGUGAUAUAACACCUUGCAUUUUGUAUCCUUUCAACUUUAUCUUUGUGACUCUUUGAUGUCUAUGACCGCAUGUUACUCCAUGCCACAUGCAAAAGUGGGUAGAACUAUUCCAAGAGUUUAAUACUCCAAAAGGGUCACUGGACAUUGAUUCUUUGAAUUUGAGUAAUGCAGAAUGGUCAGUGUUGUUUCCUAAGGCAGAGGCUGAUUUGUUCAGGAAAUUUGAAGUAAAGAGAAGAAACAAGACAAGGUGGCAUAUAGUAGACCAAAAGAUACUUAACAUUAGUUUGGAUUUGGUGCAAAACUCAAAAGUAAGAGUCAGAGUCAGUCUUCGCUAGAGUGCCGGUCAAUGUGGUGUAUAUAUAUAUAGCCAAAUGUGAUAUGUCAUUCGCUUCGUUUUCCAUGUAGACUUUACGGUUGACGACUGACUAUAUAUGAAACCAACCCAAGUAGCACGACGGGCGUCAAGGUUGAUAAGGAUAGAGAUAUUUUCAUUAGAUUGUGCCACGUGCCUAAGGCUUUGUUUGCGUUUGGAGGGGAGGGGAAGAGAAGACUUUAAGGGAUGAAAAAUACGAGGGAAAAUGAAGAAUUUUUUAAAAUAGUAGUUUUUUAGAGAAUGAUAAAUUAAUACAUAUGAUUAUUAUAUUUUUAGUUUUAAAAAUAAUAUAACAACAUAGAUUAAAUUUGAAGAAUUCAUAUAAACUCUCCAAAAACCCCCAAAACUUUUUUUCCAAUACAAUUUUUUAGUUCCCACCAAAUGAGGAGGGUUUAGUAUUAUGAAGAAAAGUUAACCACCCAAAGCCCUCCCCUCUCAUUUCCCUUUAUUUCUUCCACUUGCUCAUUCUUUUUUUCCUAACUCUUCCCCUCCAAACUCGCAAACAGAGUCUAAGAGUGUGUUUAGAUGAGGGAAUGUUUUAAGGGAAUAUGAUGUUUUGAAGAAAUUCAAAUACUUUGAUGUGAAUUCCAUUGUUUGGAUAAUAAUUUGAAGAAUUUUCAAAAUGAUGGAAAUUUAUGAAGUAUUUUGUUCAAGUUAAAUUUAAAGAAUUUCAAAUGACACCUAAAAGUUAAGAAUUUCAAAAUUCUUCAUUGUUAUAAUUUUUUAAAUUUUACAUUUUGCCCCUCAAAUUUUCUAAAAAUUGCAAUCUGACCCCUCAAAAUUUUUGAAACUUUCAAAUUGACCCCUAAUUUCAUUUUUUAAAUUUGAUCCAAAAAAAUUAAAAUUUAUAAAAGUUGCCCAAAAAUUAUGACAAUAUUUGUUUUUAUUUCUCCAUCCAAACAAUAAUAUUUAGGAAUGAAAGCAAUUUAAUUGAAUCAUUUGAAUUACCUAAAAUUCUAAAUUCUUCAAAAUUUCUCAAUUACUCCAUCCAAACACACUCUAAGAAUUUUUUAUUAAGGAUUACAUAAAAAUAAAUUGAAUUACAAAUACAAACACAUGUGAAAAUAUUUAUCACACAAUUUUUCAUUCCAGUUUUGAUUUCUUAAUUAAUGCAUAAUGACACUUCCUACUUCCUUUGUUGUUUUUUCUCUAUUUCAAAAUAAUUGUCACUUUAAAAUAUUAGUGCAAUAUUUGUUAUUUUUUUCUCACUGUUAUACAUUUAUUUAUUGAAUUUCAUCAAACUUAAUUACUCAACUAACUACUAUUAAUAAAGAUAUUAAUUUUAUCAUUGAAAUCGACAUAAUUAAUAAUAAAAAAAAAAAUAUGCACAAAUUUAAAGGAUUAUUAUUUUGAGACAGGAGUAACAUUUUUAUAUUUGUCUUGUCCAUCCCCGAGAUACGCUUCGAGCUAACUAUUGGUCCAUUUGUUAAAGUUUUUUUAAAUGACUAUAACAUAAAUAUCUCUCUAAAUCUUUUUUCUCCUUUCUUUAAAUCUUAAUAAGUGGUUUUCACAUAUAUCUAGUUUUUUCUUUUAUGUUUUUUGUUAUUUCGUCGUCUAAGUGCGGCGUUGUGGUGUUCUUCGUCUUCUGCAGCGUUUGAUUUCGUAUCUUGUCCCGGUGUCAUAUUGAAAGAUCGACUUCAGUCAAUUACAACUUCAAUCAAUGAUUUGGGCGUCCACGUUGUAGAUCCGAGCGCACAGGUAUUUCGGUGACUUAGAUUUUAUCAUAUUCUUUAUAUGCAUUUUAUCGUUGUAUGCUAUUAACUUAGAUGUUGUGAGUUUAUUCGCAGAUUCACUCUUUACGUUUUGAGUGAUGUUUGUAUCUGAUGUAUUAUAUCAAUUUGUAUGAAUGAAUAUCGUUUUGUUUUUGUCAAAAAAAUUAUUGUAAUUUUUUUAAUAAAGAAUUUUUAAAAGAAUGUUUUAAAUGAGAAAUUUGUUUAAAUAGCUUCUCAUUAAAAACCAUUGUAAGUAUUUCAUCAUUUUCCUAUGACUUUUUUUUUUUGGAUAAUAAAGUUUUUAAAAACGCUUUAAAUGAAAAGAUAUUUUGAAUAACUUCUGGUAAAAAUUAUUUGAGAGAUAUCUUUUUGAAAAAAAUAUGUGAUUUUUAUUAUGUUAAAUCUUUAACAAUAAAUAUUUAAGUAUUGAAAGACAAAGUUACUCUUUUAAUUUGUAAUAAAUGAGUUUGAAAUAGUUUCUGUUAUUUUUUAUUAAGUUUUCGUAAAAAAACAUUUUUAGGAAUAUCAAGUAAAAUCACUUUGUUGAUAUAUAACAAAAUGAUUGGGUUCAAGUCGUUAAUGAAUUCCUUUGAGAGAGUUAUAAAUGUUUGUGCCAGCCAAACCUUCAGAAAUUUCUUUUAGGCUCGAUAAGUGUUGCUGCUUCAAUAUUUGUAUCUUAUAUCAUUUGAAUUAUCUUGUUUUUGCGUUUCGUUGAAUACAAAAGUAUACUUUAUAAUUCCUUAAAAAUAAGUAUACUUUAUUUGAUUCAUAUGUCCCCAUGUUUUUUCGGUGGCCCAAUCAAUAGAACUUUACAUGUUAAAAUCUCUAAAGCCUUAGCAAUCUACAAAGGUACUUAUUGAGAGUAAACAUUUAAAAUGCUUGAAUUGGCAUGGUAGUGUCUUAUUCACUCCCGCUAAAAUUUAAUCUUAGCAUUCUUUAGUAUGUACUGCAAGUGAUGAGAGCCUGUUUAGUGCUUAAUAUUUCUCUAUAACACAUCAUCUCUUCCACUAAUUCUUAGUUGGACUCCUUCGCAUGGUGAUAUAUGAGCAGUAAGAAAACGUAGGCAAUAAGAUAGGAGACAUGUCAGUAAAUAGUGACGAAAUUACCGUAGAGAUUUACUUUGUCUAGACUUUAAUCCUCACCUCUCGGACUAACUUUUUAGCUUUGUUUGGGAGUUUGGAGGGGAGGGUUUUAGGGGGUUGGAAAUAUAUAGAAAAAUUGACAAAAAAUUCACAUUUUUUGAAAGAACGGUUUUUUAGAGAAUGAUAAACUAAUACUUAUGAUUAAUAUACUUUUAAUUUUAUGAAUAUUAUAACAACAUAGAUUGAAUUUGAAAAAUUCAUAUAAACCCUCCAUAACCCCCCAAAACCCUCCCCCAAUACAAUUUUUGAGUUCCCCCAAAUUAGGGAGAUUUUUUAUUAUGAGUAAAAAAUUAACCUCCAAAGCCCUCUCCUCCCAAUGUCUUCUAUUUUUUCCACUUACUCCUUCCCAUUUUCCAAAACCCUCCCCUUCCCUCCCCUCCAAACUCCCAAAAAGCCUUGAGGUUUAACUAAUUUUAAAGUCUAAAAUUUAAGAUAGUAUCGGAGUCUAUACAUUAAAAGAUAUUAACGGAAACAUUAAAAGAGUCUAAACUUUACAUGCCACAAAUGAGCAUUUUGUAUUAUUCAACACUGAGUUCACAAACGAUUGUCCAUACAUUUUAUUAAUGAGAACACCAAGAGAAAACAAAUCAAAACUGUAUGAUGACAUUAUUAGUAACUAGUGAUGUAACAGUAGUGUGUUGUGCAGCACUCAUAGAAAUGGUGAAGUGGUAUAGACCAUCAACCAGCUCAUUCUUUCCAAUCUUCCUCAAUUUUGGUGUAUCCUAGAUGUAGAAAAAGUCAGAAAUGUGCAGAACAGCAUGUAACAAAAAAUCAAUAGCUAAUCAUACGAUACAUUGGGAUACAAGUAGAAAUAAAAAUACAAAGCCAUAAAAUUAGUUGUAUAAGUUGGGAUACAAGUAGAAAAUUACCUUAUUUCCCUUCAUCAGCCAAAGCUUUUGAAAUGAUAUUCAGUUCAGUUUUGACUUCCUCGAUAUUGAUUCGUUCUCUUGCAGACUCAACUGAACAAGAUAAUCCAAUCUUAAAUAAAGAAGAUAAAGACCUCUCAACAUUGGGAUGCAAAUCCCUUGCAACCUCUGUUGUUACUAAAAGAUGACUGUUUUCCGUUGAGAGGAGAGUUGCAUCAACAAUCUCCAAAAUGUUAUUUGGAAAUGCAAUUUUAACGUAGUUAUGGAGGUUGUACCCAUCUUUAAACAUUUCAUCGGUUGGUCUUCUCCCAGUCAUCAUCUCCAAAAGAAGAAUCCCAAAGCUAUACAUGUCGCCUUCUGUUGACAAUUGAGUAUCCAUUCCAUACUCUGAAAUAUGCAUGUUUCUAACAAAUCAAAUCCUAAUCCAAAACUCAACAUUUCUAUAUAACAGUCACAAAAUAAGUUUCAAACUAUACAUACCUGGAGGAGUAUAACCUAUAGUCCCCUUUAUUCCCAUUGAGCUGGUUUGAUUAUUGGAUUUGCCAUCAAUUGUUGAAACAAGUCUGGCUAAGCCAAAAUCACUCACAUGAGCAACCAUGUCAUCUUCAAGAAGGACAUUGCUUGGUUUUAAAUCACAAUGAACAAUAGGCUUCUCACAUUCAUUGUGAAGAUAGUGUAAUGCUGAAGCGAUUCCAUUAACAUUUUCUAAUCUUUUUUCUAAUUUCAGUGUUCUUUGUUGUUCUGCAUUUUGAUGCAACCAUUCCUCUAAGCUCCCAUUUGUCAUGUAUUCAUAAACUAUUGCCUUAAAGUCGUCACCUUUGUGAUCCACACUAGAGCAACAUGUGAUAAUCUUGACUAGAUUUCUAUGCCUGAUAUUUCUAAAAGCAUUACAUUCGGCAAGGAAACUUUUAUGAGCUCCUUUCUUCUGAAGGUUUAGAACCUUUACAGCAACAACUCUUUCUUCUGAAUUAAGUCUUCCUUUGUACACAAAACCUAUACCUCCGGUUCCUAUCAAGUUCUGAUCCGAGAACCCAUCUGUGGCAUGGUGUAGCUCUUGGUAUGAUACCUUCGGAAAUUGCA
rnacentral:lncRNA from 1 species